rnacentral:lncRNA from 1 species
CGAGGAGCUUGCUGCAUGAAUCCGUGAGUACAGUUUACAAACUGUCGCCACGGAUUGUUUUUUUUUCUCCUACAGGUGACUUCACUGGCUCCGUAGUCUCGCGAGAGGUGCAGGUCUGCAGCUGGAUACAUCUGUGACAAGGGGCGUAAAGGGGAGAAAAAGAAACCAUUCUGCGCAGCGUUCUUGAUGCUCAGACCAUCGUAAUAUUAUUGCACUGCAGUAAUGUCAGUGGAACAAGAAAAGAACUCUCUGGCUGAGACUCCAAGUCUCCAGGAGGAACAGAGUGAAAAAUCCGGUUUAAAGGUUUCCAGAUGUGAGUCUGUAAAGAGUGAUCAUUUGAAAGAUGAUGUACUACUUAUCAAAAAGGACACACCUACCAAAAGUGUAUCCUUCAAUGAGGAAACAUCAUCGCAAAUCAAAAAACUAGGGAUGCGCCGAUCCGAUAUUCAUAUUGGGUAUCGGCUCCAAUAGUGCCAUUU